CCGAGUUUCGUGCCCGUACGGGUAGAUCUCCCACCCUAUGUUAUUAUUACCUUGUUGCUUUGGCGGGCCGCCAGGCUCCGGUCAGGCUAUCGGCUUCGGCUGGUAAGCCGCCCGCCAGAGGACCCCAAACUCUGAAUGUUAGUGUCGUCUGAGUACUAUACAAUAGUUA
rnacentral:misc_RNA from 1 species